rnacentral:rRNA from 1 species
UACAGAGGGUGCAAGCGUUAAUCGGAAUUACUGGGCGUAAAGCGCGCGUAGGCGGUUAUUUAAGUCGGGUGUGAAAGCCCCGGGCUCAACCUGGGAAUUGCAUCCGAUACUGAGUAACUAGAGUAUGAGAGAGGGAGGUAGAAUUCCACGUGUAGCGGUGAAAUGCGUAGAUAUGUGGAGGAACACCAGUGGCGAAGGCGGCUUUCUGGUCUGUAACUGACGCUGAGGCGCGAAAGCGUGGGGAGCAAACAGG